GGGUUGUGAGGUUAAGCGACUAAGCGUACACGGUGGAUGCCCUGGCAGUCAGAGGCGAUGAAGGGCGUGCUAAUCUGCGAUAAGCGCCGGUAAGGUGAUAUGAACCGUUAUAACCGGCGAUACCCGAAUGGGGAAACCCAGUGUGAUUCGUCACACUAUCAUUAACUGAAUCCAUAGGUUAAUGAGGCGAACCGGGGGAACUGAAACAUCUAAGUACCCCGAGGAAAAGAAAUCAACCGAGAUUCCCCCAGUAGCGGCGAGCGAACGGGGAGGAGCCCAGAGCCUGAAUCAGCAUGUGUGUUAGUGGAAGCGUCUGGAAAGGCGCGCGAUACAGGGUGACAGCCCCGUACACAAAAGCGCAUGUGCUGUGAGCUCGAUGAGUAGGGCGGGACACGUGGUAUCCUGUCUGAAUAUGGGGGGACCAUCCUCCAAGGCUAAAUACUCCUGACUGACCGAUAGUGAACCAGUACCGUGAGGGAAAGGCGAAAAGAACCCCGGCGAGGGGAGUGAAAAAGAACCUGAAACCGUGUACGUACAAGCAGUGGGAGCACCCUUUGGGGUGUGACUGCGUACCUUUUGUAUAAUGGGUCAGCGACUUAUAUUCUGUAGCAAGGUUAACCGUAUAGGGGAGCCGGAGGGAAACCGAGUCUUAAUUGGGCGUUAAGUUGCAGGGUAUAGACCCGAAACCCGGUGAUCUAGCCAUGGGCAGGUUGAAGGUUGGGUAACACUAACUGGAGGACCGAACCGACUAAUGUUGAAAAAUUAGCGGAUGACCUGUGGCUGGGGGUGAAAGGCCAAUCAAACCGGGAGAUAGCUGGUUCUCCCCGAAAGCUAUUUAGGUAGCGCCUCGUGAAUUCAUCUCCGGGGGUAGAGCACUGUUUCGGCUAGGGGGCCAUCCCGGCUUACCAACCCGAUGCAAACUGCGAAUACCGGAGAAUGUUAUCACGGGAGACACACGGCGGGUGCUAACGUCCGUCGUGAAGAGGGAAACAACCCAGACCGCCAGCUAAGGUCCCAAAGUCAUGGUUAAGUGGGAAACGAUGUGGGAAGGCCCAGACAGCCAGGAUGUUGGCUUAGAAGCAGCCAUCAUUUAAAGAAAGCGUAAUAGCUCACUGGUCGAGUCGGCCUGCGCGGAAGAUGUAACGGGGCUAAACCAUGCACCGAAGCUGCGGCAGCGACACUAUGUGUUGUUGGGUAGGGGAGCGUUCUGUAAGCCUGUGAAGGUGUGUCGUGAGGCAUGCUGGAGGUAUCAGAAGUGCGAAUGCUGACAUAAGUAACGAUAAAGCGGGUGAAAAGCCCGCUCGCCGGAAGACCAA
rnacentral:rRNA from 1 species